GUCGAUUGACGUCGAAACAAGGUCGAAUCGAUGUCGAUUUGAUGAUUUUGAUAUCGAUUCGACACCGUUUCGACAUCGACCGACGAAUCAUUUCUCACUGUAGUGCGAUUCUGUAACUCGUUAUUGGAGUUAAUGACACUUUCGUCAUCGUUGCGCAGCAAACGUAUAUCGUAGAAAAGCUGCGCAACGAUAACGAAAGUGUUGUUAACUCUAAUAACGAGUUACAGAAUCGCACCACUGGGGAAGAAUAAACUUGUGAUGUCAUUUAUGUUGAACUUUACAUAUAAUGUAUGCAACGAACAAAGUCUUUUGUUUGCUUCUGCGGCGGUUGGAUGUAGUUCCCGUAACUACGCACAUUUUUUAUCUUGGGGACUAUGUACGCGUUCUUGUUUCUCUUUUAUUUCCAAAAUCGUGAUUGAUGUAAGAGAAGGAGUGUAAUAAAUCUGCUCAGAGCCAUAAAUUGAAUGAAUGAAUGAAUGCAUACAACAAACUUCGAAAAAUGGUUACUCAGAAUGGAGUAUAUUAUUGUCCCGCUUCUCCUCAUUCUGCCUCCUUGCUUUUGAGUGUCCAAACUACUCCAUUAUCCUCCACUAUAUUUUGCUUUGAUCGGAAUCUGAGAUAUUGUCAAUACUUAGUGGAGGCCAGAGCCAGAGUUGGUAGCAGAUAUAAAUUGACAAAAUUGAUUAUUUUCUAACAGGAUUACAAAAUUGAGAGCAAGAAAGAAAUGAGAAUUACAUAGUGGUUCUUUUCCCCGUAGGCCUUUCCAAUUAUACCUCUCUGCCAAUUUAUUCGAAAAUGUUUUAUAUAAUAUUCUCUUAAUGGCAUCAUCAAUUUUCAUUCCUUCGAUGGAUUUUAUAUAUGCUCGCUGGGAAUAUCAGGAGAAUAUGCUAUACCAGUACAUAAUUAAAAUGGAGUAAAUUGGCAAUGACAUUAUAUGCAAGAAAAGUAACAAAAAGAAAAGAAAGUUGAUAAUUAAAAUUGCAUUAUGUUGGGAAUUACGGUCUUUUAAAAUAGUCUCAACUUCUGUUAAUUGGAGUACAGUUUGUAAUGGAAAUAGAUUCCAGCAUCCUCAAAAGGAAACGUUGUGUUCUGGGCUUCCAUUUUCGCAUUUGCUUUAACUAAAAUGUCCAACAAGACUUUCUUGUGUACAGUUUAAUCUUUCAAUUUUACUCAUUCUCAGAGCACUCCAGUUUAGCAGAUUCUCACGAUUUUUCUGUGUUCUGAUUUCAACUAUAUUCCAUGUUUCUUCAUCUCUUUCAUAACAAGCACUAUGAUUACUCGGCGCAUCUAUACAUAAUAUAAAAUAAAUAUAUUAUACAGCAGAAUCGCAAAAAUCUGUUGUAGACGUACUUUCAUGUUCACUUUCAUUGCAUAGUCGUUGACCUUUUAGUACGAAAAUUGAAAAGAUAUAAUAUAUAAUACGAGAGAGGAGGACGUGGAGGAAUAGGUAAUGCUUGUAAAUGGCUCUUUUUCGCUUUCAGAUGGGGAUAUAACUUUCUUUGCUCUAUGUUUUCUAUAAUAUUUUGAUUCUUUCUCAGUAUCCGAAGUAUAUGUAGCCAUUUGUGCUUUAUCAUCGGCUUUUUGUAUAGACUAAAAGUAUUUUAAAUGUUAUUAAGAAGCAAAAUUAAAAAAUAAAGCUAUCUUGUUUUAAUAUUUACAGUAUUCGCCAAAAAUUCGUUCUAUUGGACAAGAAGGCCAAUCAACACUUGGUAUUUCUUCCUUUUCAAUAGCUUUUCGAAUUCUUGCGUCUGUUUUAUAGCGUAAAGGAUAUUUGCAUAUGUUUUCAUUUUGUAGCCAAAUUUUUGGUAUUACUUGAACACCAUCAGGAAAUUCUGCUACAAUGAAUCUACCACUCGACAUCGUCUGAAAUUAUAUGAAGAAAUACAUAUGCGAGUAAUGUUAUAAAGAUGUCAACUCUUUUAUAUUGUAAUGCAUAAAGAUCAAUCUAAUUUCCUCACUUUA